CGCCUGGGGAGUGCGGCCGCAAGGUUAAAACUCAAAUGGAUUGACGGGGGCCCGCACAAGCGGUGGAGCAUGUGGUUUAAUUCGACGCAACGCGAAGAACCUUACCUGGCCUUGACAUGCAGAGAACUUUCCAGAGAUGGAUUGGUGCCUUCGGGAACUCUGACACAGGUGCUGCAUGGCCGUCGUCAGCUCGUGUCGUGAGAUGUUGGGUUAAGUCCCGUAACGAGCGCAACCCCUAUCCCUAGUUGCUAGCAGUUCGGCUGAGAACUCUAGGGAGACUGCCGGUGACAAACCGGAGGAAGGUGGGGAUGACGUCAGGUCAUCAUGGCCCUUACGGCCAGGGCUACACACGUGCUACAAUGGUGCGCACAGAGGGCUGCAAACCCGCGAGGGGGAGCCAAUCUCACAAAACGCAUCGUAGUCCGGAUCGCAGUCUGCAACUCGACUGCGUGAAGUCGGAAUCGCUAGUAAUCGUGAAUCAGAAUGUCACGGUGAAUACGUUCCCGGGCCUUGUACACACCGCCCGUCACACCAUGGGAGUGGAUUGCACCAGAAGUGGUUAGUCUAACCUUCGGGAGGACGAUCACCACGGUGUGGUUCAUGACUGGGGUGAAGUCGUAACAAGGUAACCGUA
rnacentral:rRNA from 1 species